rnacentral:rRNA from 1 species
GNNAUUGGNCAAUGGGCGCAGCCUGNUCCAGCCAUGCCGCGUGCAGGAUGACGGUCCUAUGGAUUGUAAACUGCUUUUAUACGAGAAGAAACACUGCGUUCGUGAAGCAGCUUGACGGUAUCGUAAGAAUACACGGAUCGGCGUAACUCCGUGCCAGCAGCCGCGGUAAUACNGGAGGAUCCAAGCGUUAUCCGGAAUCAUUGGGUUUAAAGGGUCCGUAGGCGGUUUAAUAAGUCAGUGGUGAAAGCCCAUCGCUCAACGGUGGAACGGCCAUUGAUACUGUUAAACUUGAAUUAUUAGGAAGUAACUAGAAUAUGUAGUGUAGCGGUGAAAUGCNUUAGAGAUUACAUGGAAUACCAAUUGCGAAGGCAGGUUACUACUAAUGGAUUGACGCUGAUGGACGAAAGCGUGGGUAGCGAACAGGAUUAGAUACCCUGGUAGUCCACGCCGUAAACGAUGGAUACUAGCUGUUGGAAGCAAUUUCAGUGGCUAAGCGAAAGUGAUAAGUAUCCCACCUGGGGAGUACGUUCGCAAGGCUGAAACUCAGAAGAAUUGACGGA